rnacentral:snoRNA from 1 species
UCUGGUGAUGAGAUCGAAACGUUGCUUGAAUUUAUCAUGUGAGCACAAAUUUAAGACUAUAACGGUAUCUGAAU